UUAACGGUCCUUUUCAGGACCACCCACUUAUCUCAGAAAAGGCUU
rfam:Lingula anatina scaffold350, whole genome shotgun sequence.